GAUUCAAAAAUUAAAUUCGCCAUUUCACAACAUUCUACCAUACAUCCCUUGCAAUUCGUUCAUUAUUUCAACCUCCUCACCGUCAAACCCAUUUGGGUCUUCAGUUUUUCCAUACCCUUUGGCGACCCUCACGCACCACCGCGACCGCCUGCACCCGCCGGACUCCUCUCCCCCCACCCCCACCCCUACCAGCUUCAGUCGAUCCAAUCCCUCAUUCUUCUUCCAGAUCUGAAAUUUUCAGAUCAAUUUUUUCAGAACAAAAUGCAUGUACAAAUCAUUAACUCUCCAAAAACAAUAUAAAGAAAGAAAUGAAAAAAUCAAAGAAAAGAAAGAAAUUGAAGCAACCAGAACUAGAGCGUUGAAUUUGGAUGAUUUAUGUGGCUUGAAUUUUAGAGAGAGAAAAUUUAAUCUUUCGAUCAAUGCAGAAUUGUUGGUCACAUUGGAGUAGAUCGGCCACAGUUGGGAAGAGACAAGGAAGGGUGGGAGAGAGAAGAGACAUCGGUCGUCGGUAGCGAGAGAAGAGAGAAGAGAGUAGAUCGGUUGUUGUUGUUCACCGUUGGGAAGAGAGACGGAGAAGAGAAGAAAGAGAGCGCAAGCAAUAUAGCACAAAUUUAAUUUUUUUUGUAGUUAAUCUAAGCCGUAGAUUUUGUUAGGAAUGAUGUAGCCAAAUCUUGACCGUUGGUCAAAGGAAGGGCUGGAGAGGAUCUGAACUCAACAUUUACCUACGAAACCAAUAGUGUCGUUAUUAUAGGAGAAUAUUGUAUUCUUACCCUUUUUCGAAAAACUUUUGUUUAAUGGAGUAAUUUUUUGUGUCAA